AUGCUUGCUUUGGCAGCGUGCAUACUAAAACUGGACACUACAGAGAAGAUUAGCAUGGCCCCUGUGCAAAGCAGACUUGCAAAUUCUUGAAGAAUUCCAUGUUUUU